AUUGAACGCUGGCGGCAUGCCUUACACAUGCAAGUCGAACGGUAGAGGGGGCAACCCCUUGAGAGUGGCGAACGGGUGAGUAAUGCAUCGGAACGUGCCCAGUAGUGGGGGAUAGCCCGGCGAAAGCCGGAUUAAUACCGCAUACGACCUACGGGUGAAAGCGGGGGACCUUCGGGCCUCGCGCUAUUGGAGCGGCCGAUGUCAGAUUAGCUAGUUGGUGGGGUAAAGGCCCACCAAGGCGACGAUCUGUAGCUGGUCUGAGAGGACGACCAGCCACACUGGGACUGAGACACGGCCCAGACUCCUACGGGAGGCAGCAGUGGGGAAUUUUGGACAAUGGGCGAAAGCCUGUUCCAGCAAUGCCGCGUGCAGGAAGAAGGCCUUCGGGUUGUAAACUGCUUUUGUACGGAGCGAAAAGGCCCUUUCUAAUACAAGGGGCUCAUGACGGUACCGUAAGAAUAAGCACCGGCUAACUACGUGCCAGCCGCCGCGGUAAGAC
rnacentral:rRNA from 1 species